GGGUUGUGAGGUUAAGCGACUAAGCGUACACGGUGGAUGCCCUGGCAGUCAGAGGCGAUGAAGGACGUGCUAAUCUGCGAUAAGCGUCGGUAAGGUGAUAUGAACCGUUAUAACCGGCGAUUUCCGAAUGGGGAAACCCAGUGUGAUUCGUCACACUAUCAUUAACUGAAUCCAUAGGUUAAUGAGGCGAACCGGGGGAACUGAAACAUCUAAGUACCCCGAGGAAAAGAAAUCAACCGAGAUUCCCCCAGUAGCGGCGAGCGAACGGGGAGCAGCCCAGAGCCUGAAUCAGUGUGUGUGUUAGUGGAAGCGUCUGGAAAGGCGCGCGAUACAGGGUGACAGCCCCGUACACAAAAAUGCACAUGCUGUGAGCUCGAUGAGUAGGGCGGGACACGUGGUAUCCUGUCUGAAUAUGGGGGGACCAUCCUCCAAGGCUAAAUACUCCUGACUGACCGAUAGUGAACCAGUACCGUGAGGGAAAGGCGAAAAGAACCCCGGCGAGGGGAGUGAAAAAGAACCUGAAACCGUGUACGUACAAGCAGUGGGAGCACAGAGCAAUCUGUGUGACUGCGUACCUUUUGUAUAAUGGGUCAGCGACUUAUAUUCUGUAGCAAGGUUAACCGAAUAGGGGAGCCGAAGGGAAACCGAGUCUUAACUGGGCGUUAAGUUGCAGGGUAUAGACCCGAAACCCGGUGAUCUAGCCAUGGGCAGGUUGAAGGUUGGGUAACACUAACUGGAGGACCGAACCGACUAAUGUUGAAAAAUUAGCGGAUGACUUGUGGCUGGGGGUGAAAGGCCAAUCAAACCGGGAGAUAGCUGGUUCUCCCCGAAAGCUAUUUAGGUAGCGCCUCGUGAAUUCAUCUCCGGGGGUAGAGCACUGUUUCGGCAAGGGGGUCAUCCCGACUUACCAACCCGAUGCAAACUGCGAAUACCGGAGAAUGUUAUCACGGGAGACACACGGCGGGUGCUAACGUCCGUCGUGAAGAGGGAAACAACCCAGACCGCCAGCUAAGGUCCCAAAGUCAUGGUUAAGUGGGAAACGAUGUGGGAAGGCCCAGACAGCCAGGAUGUUGGCUUAGAAGCAGCCAUCAUUUAAAGAAAGCGUAAUAGCUCACUGGUCGAGUCGGCCUGCGCGGAAGAUGUAACGGGGCUAAACCAUGCACCGAAGCUGCGGCAGCGACGCUGAUGCGUUGUUGGGUAGGGGAGCGUUCUGUAAGCCUGCGAAGGUGUGCUGUGAGGCAUGCUGGAGGUAUCAGAAGUGCGAAUGCUGACAUAAGUAACGAUAAAGCGGGUGAAAAGCCCGCUCGCCGGAAGACCAAGGGUUCCUGUCCAACGUUAAUCGGGGCAGGGUGAGUCGACCCCUAAGGCGAGGCCGAAAGGCGUAGUCGAUGGGAAACAGGUUAAUAUUCCUGUACUUGGUGUUACUGCGAAGGGGGGACGGAGAAGGCUAUGUUGGCCGGGCGACGGUUGUCCCGGUUUAAGCGUGUAGGCUGGUUUUCCAGGCAAAUCCGGAAAAUCAAGGCUGAGGCGUGAUGACGAGGCACUACGGUGCUGAAGCAACAAAUGCCCUGCUUCCAGGAAAAGCCUCUAAGCAUCAGGUAACAUCAAAUCGUACCCCAAACCGACACAGGUGGUCAGGUAGAGAAUACCAAGGCGCUUGAGAGAACUCGGGUGAAGGAACUAGGCAAAAUGGUGCCGUAACUUCGGGAGAAGGCACGCUGAUAUGUAGGUGAAGCGACUUGCUCGUGGAGCUGAAAUCAGUCGAAGAUACCAGCUGGCUGCAACUGUUUAUUAAAAACACAGCACUGUGCAAACACGAAAGUGGACGUAUACGGUGUGACGCCUGCCCGGUGCCGGAAGGUUAAUUGAUGGGGUUAGCGCAAGCGAAGCUCUUGAUCGAAGCCCCGGUAAACGGCGGCCGUAACUAUAACGGUCCUAAGGUAGCGAAAUUCCUUGUCGGGUAAGUUCCGACCUGCACGAAUGGCGUAAUGAUGGCCAGGCUGUCUCCACCCGAGACUCAGUGAAAUUGAACUCGCUGUGAAGAUGCAGUGUACCCGCGGCAAGACGGAAAGACCCCGUGAACCUUUACUAUAGCUUGACACUGAACAUUGAGCCUUGAUGUGUAGGAUAGGUGGGAGGCUUUGAAGUGUGGACGCCAGUCUGCAUGGAGCCGACCUUGAAAUACCACCCUUUAAUGUUUGAUGUUCUAACGUUGACCCGUAAUCCGGGUUGCGGACAGUGUCUGGUGGGUAGUUUGACUGGGGCGGUCUCCUCCUAAAGAGUAACGGAGGAGCACGAAGGUUGGCUAAUCCUGGUCGGACAUCAGGAGGUUAGUGCAAUGGCAUAAGCCAGCUUGACUGCGAGCGUGACGGCGCGAGCAGGUGCGAAAGCAGGUCAUAGUGAUCCGGUGGUUCUGAAUGGAAGGGCCAUCGCUCAACGGAUAAAAGGUACUCCGGGGAUAACAGGCUGAUACCGCCCAAGAGUUCAUAUCGACGGCGGUGUUUGGCACCUCGAUGUCGGCUCAUCACAUCCUGGGGCUGAAGUAGGUCCCAAGGGUAUGGCUGUUCGCCAUUUAAAGUGGUACGCGAGCUGGGUUUAGAACGUCGUGAGACAGUUCGGUCCCUAUCUGCCGUGGGCGCUGGAGAACUGAGGGGGGCUGCUCCUAGUACGAGAGGACCGGAGUGGACGCAUCACUGGUGUUCGGGUUGUCAUGCCAAUGGCACUGCCCGGUAGCUAAAUGCGGAAGAGAUAAGUGCUGAAAGCAUCUAAGCACGAAACUUGCCCCGAGAUGAGUUCUCCCUGACUCCUUGAGAGUCCUGAAGGAACGUUGAAGACGACGACGUUGAUAGGCCGGGUGUGUAAGCGCAGCGAUGCGUUGAGCUAACCGGUACUAAUGAACCGUGAGGCUUAACCUUACAACGCCGAAGGUGUUU
rnacentral:rRNA from 1 species